CACACACACACAGACUUCUGUCUGUGUGUGUGUGUGUGUGGGGGGGGAGAAGUCCACCAACUUGUACGCAUUUCUUCAGUAGGAUUAUGACACACGAUUUCCAGUAAGACUAUUCUGGACGGUCUGUAUCAGAAAACAUGAUUGGAUUUGUGUUUCCCUCCUCUGUCUCUCUCUCAAGUUUGCCAACAAGUUUGUCUUAGCAGAUGUGUCAACAUUGUUUCCACGACCCUUAACCGGAAAUAAAUGAGUUGCUGUAGCUUACAGUUCCCUCCAGGAACGCAAUGUCACAAACAUGGCUACACCUCCGAAAUCAAACCUAAACACAACCUCAUUAUUUAUAGGAUGAUGUCAAAUAUUUCAUAGCACCUCCCAAAAAACAUCACAAUAUCCACGUGUUAAUGUGUACAGUGAGACAAGCCAACAACAGUUUUGCAGCAACAGACCGGCACUGUAUCAACAGAGUGAUAAAUAGAGUGUGGCUUGACGGUUUAAUCUCAGAAAUAUGAGAGCGGAGAGGUAGAAAACGGGGAGUCUCACCUCCUUUCGUGCCUGACCGAGUGAGUCAUGUUUCCACACAGUGCAUCAUCAUCGGGAGGCUAUUUCAAAAAGAUGCUCGUGCCACACACACACACACACACACACAGCUGGAGGUAAGAUGGAUGAGACAAAGAGGUGAAUGGCAGCCCUCUGCUGGGAUGAAGAGGAGGCCCUGCAGAAUGAAGAAUGUCCGGCUGGGAUCAGGAGACAUUUCUGAUUUGACACGGUUGCGCCAAAAUGAAUGUGAUGUCAGUCAGGAAGGAACAAAAUCUCCUGCAACACCAAAUGUUUACACACUAAUCACAGGCGCCCAGGUGCUGUUGCUUUUAGCAUCAGGUUAUUUGUAGUCCCAUAUUAACAUCGGAUGCAGCAAUCAGUGGCUGAGCAAACAAACAGGCACACACAAAACACACAAACGGGAUUUGGAGUUGUGCUAAGUGUAUUGUUUCCACGCUAAUUGCACACUACGGGAAAACCCUUGCUUGCUUUUCUCAGGAAUAAACCCUUGAAACGUGUACACAGUCACAUACACAGCAGAACAAACCCACAUUGAGGGGUUUGUCUUUUCCUCUGUCUUUGUGCACGAGGCCGCGGUGUUUUUCAAGACUGAAAGUUGUAGUGCAUGUCAUCCACUAAAGGCCGUCCGGCGUGACUGAGCCACCCGCCGCUGAGAGUGAAACAAAAGACACCGCCUGCAGAAUGAAGCUGUUGUGUUUUCCUCGGCCCCUGCCAUCCCGGCCUCCUCCUCCUCGGCAUCUUCCUCCCUGCCAUCCCAGCCUCUUCCUCCUCGGCCCUUCCUCACUGCCACCCGGCCUCUUCCUCCUCGGCCUCUUCCUCCCUGCCAUCCCAGCCUCUUCCUCCUCGGCCUCUUCCUCACUGCCACCCGGCCUCUUCCUCCUUGGGCCUCUUCCUCCCUGCCAUCCCAGCCUCUUCCUCCCCGGCCUCUUCCUCCCUGCCAUCCCAGCCUCCUCCUCCUCGGCCUCUUCCUCCUCGGCCUCUUCCUCCCUGCCAUCCCGGCCUCCUCCUCCUCGGCCUCUUCCUCCCUGCCAUCCCGGCCUCCUCCUCCUCGGCCUCUUCCUCCCUGCCAUCCCGGUGUCUGUGUACACUUCAUUUCACCAGUCGGGCCCUUCCUCUGCCGGGGAUCACAACGCAGGCCGUGAAAAACAUGUUCAACUUCAAUGGAGAAGGAGCCCAGUUCACACUGGAACAGAGAGGGACAGUUGUUAUCGGGGGCCACAAAGCGCUUUAUUCCGACCUUGGAUUUUUCAAAUAGUAUAAUGGUUAAGGAUGUAAAAAUGUCCAUAAAUCAGUAAUAAUGAAACGCCCAGUGAGUCUAUGACAGGGAUUAUUUUAGACAAUUUGUGAGCUGGUGUUGUUAAGUUUCCUCACAGUAACGUGAUCGCUGUUUGUCACGCGUUUGUCUCCGGUGUGAUUUUGUCGCCUUAAUCUCAGCAGCUUCCCUUGUUUUGAAUCCUCAACGUUAACCACUGUGUUUACUUCCCACCGCGUGCCAGCGUGUACAGAAAGUAGGAGUCUGGCCGAGCGUCAGUGGGACGAGUUGUGACGAGAACGAGCUGUUCAGGCCUCCGUCCUCCUCAGUUCGACCCCGUGAACAUACAAGCAACAAGCCUUCUGUUUCUCUUCGCACAGCAUUUGAUUCAUCCUUUGGUGUUUGGAAGUAAUUCAAAUCUCAAUAACCAUGACGGAAUCUGACUUUUAUUAGGCCUCGCUUUAAAAGAGAAUUGUAAUAUCUUAUGUUUGUUUUGUUGGCCGGAGGGAGGAACCACAACACUCAUGACUCGACGGCAAAUACUGUUUAUAUCAGCGGCAGCUUACAGGAAAUGAGAGGAAACGGCUCGGCGUAUAAAGGUGAUAACACUCGCCGAUCAGCAUCUCCGAGAACUAAAUAUGUGUAAAUAUCUUGUUAAAUAUGAGGUAACCAACUGUUCCUUUAAAGGCGUCCCAGCCUGACAACUAAACGUUUAUGCAUCACAACGGACCCACAAACCAUCCGGGUACUCGGGGGCACAGAGUCAGCACGACACGGCAGGGUUGGGUGCAAUAUAACUUUAUUUAUUUAGUCAGCUGUGCUGAUGCCAAUCCGUUCCCUGAGCCACUCCCCCCUCUCUCCCGCUGCAGACGAGCCAAAACCACGCCCGCCACCACAGUGAUCUACUCACCUGCAUUACGCCAAACUGCUCGGCAUCUUCAACAGUCUGAAACAGCCGCGUAAUGAAACGUGAAAUAAACGGUUUAAGCAUGUAUUUAACGUUGAAUAAUUACGUAUUGGUAUUGAGACGAGACAUUUGAGUGGACUUGCAGCAUGUCAGAAUUAAUUCCAGCACAUCAACAAGUAUCCAAUUCACACCUUUUUUCCAGGAAAUGCUCAUAUAUUUUGCAUGAAAGCACUUCGCAACAAUGGAGGAGAGGAGAGCGAUUCGGGGCACGACACGCUGACUGUGAGAGGUCACGAAGGGUUAAAGGUCACAGGGGGUGAGGGAUCAUUAAGGCUGACAUGAAGCCAGCAGCAGCAGGUGUGGGGAUGUUUUAAGAAUCACAUUAUUGUAUCAUCCACUGUAUACGCGUGUGUGCCAGCAUGACGUGGGAGGCCGUCGGCCUGUCCGGUAAAAACUACUCCCAUCUGGAAUCUGGGAUUGUCGGAGACGCACGAGAGGAGAAGGGCGAAAACAACCGAGGCUGCAGGAGACGGACGAGAGAGAAAACAGGAAGAGCAAUUUGUCGUUCACAGGACACAUUACAAAAGUCCACAGAUAACCGGCAGAUAAACGGCAUUGUACACAGAUUUUAUACUCGCUAGGGGGAAAUAAUUCACUUGAUUUCAAUAAAGGACACUUGGUCUUUGUCAGCAGAGGAAAUACACAUAAGUUAAAAUGGCUUAGCCCUGUCGUUGAGUUUCAUGGCAGGUGUCAAAAACGUGUUUGAGAUUUCAGAUUUUUGUGAAUAGUUAUUGUAUGAUAUUAUGAAAUGAGAAAAUCAUCCAGUAUUAAUCUGCAUUCAGACUAUAUAAAAGGAGGGCCAUAUGAAGACUGCUGCUGCCUGUGUGAAAGAAUAUAACAAAUAAUACUUAAUUGCUCAUCUAGACACUAGACGAAAAAGUGCAAAUAUACAUUUUAUACGGGGUAUAAAAAAAGAUCAAUAUGUAUGACAAGUGGCAUCUAGCUACUGUAAACGUAUGUAUCAAUACCAAAGCUCAGGUUUAAGUGCAUAUGAUUAAAAUACUGCAGAAAUAAUCAUGCGAUCUACAACAGGUGUCAUUAUUCUCUGAAAGCUCCACUCAGCAGCUCAGCAGCAACAGACCUGUUUGAGUGGGAAGCCUUCAAAAAUGCCGCUGUGCAUAUCGGCUGUAUACGGUCCUGGGGUGGGAGGUCCUCUCAGCGUGUGUGUUUAUGUCUGUGUGUGUGUGUGUGUGUGUGUGUUGCAUGCCACAUUCCUCCAAUCCACCGCGGCAGAAAGGGCAGCGGCCCCACUUCACCAGAGGUGCUCAGGGGACCAGGUGAGGCCGUCUGCACGCCAGCACCAUCAAGUCCAUUUAAAAAUGUUACGUGAUCUUCAUCAGUGGACACGUCCAAUUGAUUUUGCUCCUCUUCUGAGCACUUUAAAUGAAGAACACGCAACCUUUCAAAAAGCAA
ensembl:lncRNA